AAGUCGUAACAAGGUUAUCCUUCUGGUUAAAAGAUUUUAGCUACUGAAGCCUUCAACACAGCGACUGUAAAUAAAUGUAGAGUCUCCACUUAAGGUGAAGACAAUACCGCUGAAAUGCUGUGAUCACGUAAGUGUACCAGCAGCCUAACAUCAGUUAGGCCCACAGAUCAAGCUGCGGUGGUCGAAAGUCAAAGAACUUGAGACUGUAAUAUGACCGGUUCUAACCUAAACGGUUAAGAAACAAACGUUCCGUAGGUGAACCUGCGGAAGGAUCAUUAAUGAGUUAGGGUCUUCUAGGCC
rnacentral:misc_RNA from 1 species